rnacentral:lncRNA from 14 species
GUUUUUCUGCUCUCAAAAUGGGACUGGGGAGGAGACCGCAACACUCAAAUACCCAGAUCCCAGGUAGCUGCCAGCCAGGCAUCCAGGAGGCCACUUGACUUCAUCAGCUCCAGGUGUCACAGUGUCGUGCCCCAGAGCUCUUUGGCUUCGUUGAAAUGUCAACAAUCCUGAAAUGGUUUGGACGGGAAGAUAAGGACAAAGAGGAGAAGGAAAAGGAUAAGGAAGUAGAGAAGGGAGAAGAGGAAAAGCCUGAGGGAGAAACAGAGAAGGACAAGAAGGAAGAGGCAAAGCCCCUGCAGGGAGACGGGGGAGAGGACAGGAGCAGCAGCAGCAGCUCCAACAGCAGCUUGGAAGAGGCCCGUGGCAGCAACAAGGAUGAUGAGGAGGAAGACAAGGACUAGCUUUUCCACGCUGGAUCAGCAGUGCAUGCCCUGGGCACACCAAGGAGGUGUGAAUGUGAACAGCAGCAUAUGCUGGAUGGGGCCUGGGCCACUUUUAGCCAAAUAAAGGUCUUUGCAGGCUACA